CAAUAUUGGUCUCCAACUCUGAGGUCAUCCUCACCAGCCAGUUGAGGGUCUCCGUUACCUGCAGAACCCCAACAGGAGAGAGGUGAACGGCAUUUAAGCCAGAAGGUGACUGCUGGUCGUCGCUGGAUCGUUGUCUACAACGCGUCAGUGAGAGUCAAGCUACAGCUCAAGAUAAGUCAAGUGUCUUUUGUGAAUAUCGUACUCAUUCCUGUUUCCUCGUCUACAGACCCCCUGGAUUACCUUUCCCGUGUGAAUCUGUGUGUCAAGUGUGAAGAAAGGAACUGCAGUCGUGUAUGUGGAGAGUUGGAGAGCGAGUGAUUCCCCCCUCGGAUUUCCCCGGAGCCCCGUCCCUCACAAUGUUAUAUAUAGCACUGCCCUGCACUCCCUGUAUAUACACUUGGUGAACUCUGUAAAUAAAUCCUUGUGUUCAGCUGA